GAUGAACGCUGGCGGCGUGCCUAAUACAUGCAAGUCGAGCGAACAGACGAGGAGCUUGCUCCUCUGACGUUAGCGGCGGACGGGUGAGUAACACGUGGAUAACCUACCUAUAAGACUGGGAUAACUUCGGGAAACCGGAGCUAAUACCGGAUAAUAUAUUGAACCGCAUGGUUCAAUAGUGAAAGACGGUUUUGCUGUCACUUAUAGAUGGAUCCGCGCCGGAUUAGCUAGUUGGUAAGGUAACGGCUUACCAAGGCGACGAUGCGUAGCCGACCUGAGAGGGUGAUCGGCCACACUGGAACUGAGACACGGUCCAGACUCCUACGGGAGGCAGCAGUAGGGAAUCUUCCGCAAUGGGCGAAAGCCUGACGGAGCAACGCCGCGUGAGUGAUGAAGGUCUUCGGAUCGUAAAACUCUGUUAUUAGGGAAGAACAAAUGUGUAAGUAACUAUGCACGUCUUGACGGUACCUAAUCAGAAAGCCACGGCUAACUACGUG
rnacentral:rRNA from 1 species